CAUAAACUUCAUACCAUUUGCCUUAAAUUCCAGAUCUUCCAAUUGCAAGGAAGCUAUCACUCCAACAUUUUCUUGAAAAACGUCGCCGCAGGAUAAUGAGCAAAUCUCCAUAUUCAACUCCUAGGGCAGAACAUAAUAAGGAAACUAAGCCAAGAGCAGAUGAUGAUGGCUCAAAUGGAGAUCAUAGCAUUUCUCUUUCACCAUUCCCUUCACGUUUAGACUAGUUCUUCCCUAUAUCUGCUAACAAAGGUCUUUAAUUAAGAAUAAUGCCUAAUAUUUUAAAUAAUUUUGUAUUUAUUACUAAUUCUAGCAAAUUAUAAUUUAUAUUUGUGCAAAUUGAACUUAUAUAAUACUUUAUAUAUUAUUUUUAA